rfam:Thiotrichales bacterium SG8_50 WOR_8-12_20434, whole genome shotgun sequence.
UUAGGGUUUUGGUAAGUAUCCUUGCGCGUUUUCGCACGCACAUAGACCCUUUGGAGAUUGUGUGAAUGGCCCGUAUUGCAGGCAUAAAUAUACCGACA